ACGCAGCAGUGACACCACCGCCGGCUGACGGAAUAGCCGGUUAAAGAGUGUAGACGUCGAUUCCCGCAGGCAAAUCCACGGGAAGAGUCGAACUUGAGAGUACACCAACUCCCUCGGGAAGCGGUGAUAGUGUGGGUAAGCAGACUGCCGAGAAAAUCCGCUAAACAUAACGUUGUAGGUACCCGUACCGCAAACGGACACACGUAGUCGGGUUGAAUAUACUAAGGC
rnacentral:rRNA from 1 species